GCCCAGGUGGCGAAAUUGGUAGACGCGCUAGGUUCAGGUCCUAGUGGUGGCAACACUGUGGGGGUUCGAGUCCCUUCCUGGGCACCA
rnacentral:tRNA from 4 species